rnacentral:rRNA from 1 species
GAUGAACGCUGGCGGCGUGCCUAAUACAUGCAAGUCGAGCGAACAGACGAGGAGCUUGCUCCUCUGACGUUAGCGGCGGACGGGUGAGUAACACGUGGGUAACCUACCUAUAAGACUGGGAUAACUUCGGGAAACCGGAGCUAAUACCGGAUAAUAUCUUGAACCGCAUGGUUCAAUAGUGAAAGACGGUUUUGCUUUCACUUAUAGAUGGAUCCGCGCCGCAUUAGCUAGUUGGUAAGGUAACGGCUUACAAAGGCAACGAUGCUUAGCCGACCGGAGAGGGGGACCGGCCACACUGGAACUGAGCCACGGCCCAGACUCCUACGGGAGGCAGCAGUAGGGAACCUUCCGCAAUGGGCGAAAGCCUGACGGAGCAACGCCGCGUGAGUGAUGAAGGUCUUCGGAUCGUAAAACUCUGUUAUUAGGGAAGAACAAAUGUGUAAGUAACUAUGCACGUAUUGACGGUACCUAAUCAGAAAGCCACGGCUAACUACGUG